UGGCUCAGUGGUAGAGCGCUUGCCUUGCAUGCAUGAGGUCCUGGGUUCGAUUCCUCAG
rfam:Dipodomys ordii contig_65425, whole genome shotgun sequence.